GACAGAGGGUGCAAACGUUGUUCGGAAUUACUGGGCGUAAAGCGCGUGUAGGCGGCUCUGCAAGUCGGGUGUGAAAUCCCAUGGCUCAACUAUGGAAGUGCACUCGAAACUGCAGGGCUAGAGUCCUGGAGAGGAAGGUGGAAUGCUUGGUGUAGAGGUGAAAUUCGUAGAUAUCAAGCGGAACACCGGUGGCGAAGGCGGCCUUCUGGACAGUGACUGACGCUGAGACGCGAAAGCGUGGGGAGCAAACAGG
rnacentral:rRNA from 1 species